rnacentral:rRNA from 1 species
UUGAUCCUGGCUCAGGAUGAACGCUAGCGGCAGGCCUAACACAUGCAAGUCGAGGGGUAACGAUGGUGCUUGCACCAGGCGACGACCGGCGCACGGGUGAGUAACGCGUAUGCAACCUACCUUUAGCUGGAGGAUAGCCCGGGGAAACCCGGAUUAAUACUCCGUAAUAUCUUUUUGUCUCAUGACAUUUUGAUUAAAGCUCCGGCGGCUAUUGAUGGGCAUGCGUGCCAUUAGCUUGUUGGUGAGGUAACAGCUCACCAAGGCUACGAUGGCUAGGGGGUCUAAAAGGAUGAUCCCCCACACUGGUACUGAGACACGGACCAGACUCCUACGGGAGGCAGCAGUGAGGAAUAUUGGUCAAUGGGUGAUAGCCUGAACCAGCCAUGCCGCGUGCAGGAAGACAGCCCUAGUGGUUGUAAACUGCUUUUGUUCGGGAAGAAACCUCUCUACGUGUAGAGAGUUGACGGUACCGUUCGAAUAAGCAUCGGCUAACUCCGUGCCUGCAGCCGCGGUAAUACGGAGGAUGCAAGCGUUAUCCGGAUUUAUUAGGUUUAAAGGGUGCGUAGGCGGAAUUGUAAGUCAGAGGUGAAAUCCUGCGGCUUAACCGUAGAACUGCCUUUGAUACUACAGUUCUUGAGUACAGACGAAGUAGGCGGAAUGUGUAAUGUAGCGGUGAAAUGCAUAGAUAUUACACAGAACACCAAUUGCGUAAGCAGCUUACUAGACUGUCACUGACGCUGAUGCACGAAAGCGUGGGGAGCGAACAGGAUUAGAUACCCUGGUAGUCCACGCCGUAAACCAUGAUCACUCGUUGUUGGCGAUAAACUGUCAGCGACUGAGCGAAAGCAUUAAGUGAUCCACCUGGGGAGUACGUUCGCAAGAAUGAAACUCAAAGGAAUUGACGGGGGCCCGCACAAGCGGAGGAACAUGUGGUUUAAUUCGAGGAUACGCGAGGAACCUUACCUGGGCUCAAAUGCAGAACGACCGAUCAGGAAACUGAUCUUUCUUUUAGACGGUCUGCAAGGUGCUGCAUGGCUGUCGUCAGCUCGUGCCGUGAGGUGUCGGGUUAAGUCCCAUAACGAGCGCAACCCUUAUCAUUAGUUGCCAGCGGAUAAUGCCGGGGACUCUAAUGAGACUGCCACCGUAAGGUGUGAGGAAGGUGGGGAUGACGUCAAGUCAGCACGGCCCUUACGUCCAGGGCUACACACGUGUUACAAUGGCCGGUACAAAGGGCAGCUACACAGCGAUGUGAUGCUAAUCUCGAAAACCGGUCUCAGUUCGGAUCGAAGUCUGCAAUUCGACUUCGUGAAGUUGGAUUCGCUAGUAAUCGCGCAUCAGCCACGGCGCGGUGAUACGUUCCCGGGCCUUGUACACACCGCCCGUCAAGCCAUGGAAGCCGGGGGUACCUGAAGUCCGUAACCGAAAGGAUCGGCCUAGG